GACGAACGCUGGCGGCGUGCCUAAUACAUGCAAGUAGAACGCACAGUUUAUACCGUAGCUUGCUACACCAUAGACUGUGAGUUGCGAACGGGUGAGUAACGCGUAGGUAACCUGCCUGGUAGCGGGGGAUAACUAUUGGAAACGAUAGCUAAUACCGCAUAAUAUUGAUUAUUGCAUGAUAAUUAAUUGAAAGGUGCAAUUGCACCACUACCAGAUGGACCUGCGUUGUAUUAGCUAGUAGGUGAGGUAACGGCUCACCUAGGCGACGAUACAUAGCCGACCUGAGAGGGUGAUCGGCCGCACUGGGACUGAGACACGGCCCAGACUCCUACGGGAGGCAGCAGUAGGGAAUCUUCGGCAAUGGACGAAAGUCUGACCGAGCAACGCCGCGUGAGUGAAGAAGGUUUUCGGAUCGUAAAGCUCUGUUGUAAGAGAAGAACGGGUGUGAGAGUGGAAAGUUCACACUGUGACGGUAUCUUACCAGAAAGGGACGGCUAACUACAUG
rnacentral:rRNA from 1 species